UUUUAUCCAAAAGAGAGCCUUAAGGUCUUCUGCUCAGCUGUUGCUGGAGGUACCUAAAACCAGAUUAAAGACGAGAGGUGAUAGAGCCUUUACAGCGGCUGCCCCCAGGCUCUGGAAUGGUCUCCCCUUUAAUAUUAGAUCAUCCCUG